UACAGAGGGUGCGAGCGUUAAUCGGAAUUACUGGGCGUAAAGCGUGCGCAGGCGGCUUUGCAAGACAGAUGUGAAAUCUCCCGGCUCAACUGGGAAACUGCAUCGGAAACUGAUCGGCUUGAAGAUGGGAGAGGGUAGUGGAAUUCCCGGUGUGGUGGUGAAAUUCGUAGAUAUCAGGAGGAACACCAGUGGCGAAGGCGCCGCUCUGGGCCGAGACUGACGCUGAGGAGCGAAAGCGUGGGGAGCGAACAGG
rnacentral:rRNA from 1 species